rnacentral:rRNA from 1 species
AUACGGAGGAUGCGAGCGUUAUCCGGAUUCAUUGGGUUUAAAGGGUGCGUAGGCGGACUAUUAAGUCAGUGGUGAAAUCCUGCAGCUUAACUGCAGAACUGCCAUUGAUACUGAUAGCCUUGAGUUUGGUUAAGGUAGGCGGAAUGUGUAAUGUAGCGGUGAAAUGUUUAGAUAUUACACAGAACACCAAUUGCGUAGGCAGCUUACUGAGCCGACACUGACGCUGAGGUACGAAAGCGUGGGGAUC